ncrna:unclassified sequences DTF805b RNA
AGAGCGGAACCCGAAAAGCUUGUAGAGUAGGGA